ensembl:lncRNA
AGUUUAUGUUUUGUAUCUGUGUCAGUUUAUUGCAGGGUAAAGGUCUUGGUAGUCGAAAAUGUAAGUUUAACUGUGUUAUAUGCGCUUGCUUUUUGUAAAUUUUAGCUUGAAAAACAUUGACAUGGCGCUCGCGUUUGAAAUCUAACUGACAUUGAUUACGUCAUACUGACUGACUUCGUUUGAGAUCGGUCUUUAAUUAAAAGAGUUUCUAGAUUUCCCUUUGCAUAAUUUUCUCUUUUUCUAAUUAUGUCUGUUUUCUCUAUUCUUUAUCAUGCAUUGGAGGCACAAAGCUAUAUUAAACACACUAGAAUUCGCCAUUAGGUAGGCCCUAGCAUAAAACUUAAACUAACAAAAUUAAUCCUAGACUGAAUAAGUUUCUAGUAUUAAACAAUAUUGCAUUUAGAUUUUGUUUGUCUCGUUAGAUUUAACCUGUCUCAUUUUAAAGGUCUUGACCUUCUGAACUGAACUUAUCCAUUAAAAUCACACAGCGUAAGAAUUUUGAAAUAAUUCAAUUCUGCAAUAAAACUGUUUUUAUUUUUUGAAGAGUUUCAGGACCUUUUGUUGUUUGAUAUUUGCGUCUGAUAUUGUUAUUCAGGAAAUACAAACGAUCAUAUUAGAGUUACUUUUAGUUUUAAUAGAUAUUCUACCUGUGUGUAAGAUUUUUUCCUUAUAGUACAUUGAUUUUUUCCUUCACCACACUUGUUUUCGUAGACUUACAACGUGGACUCAAAGAAUGAGAAUGAAGAGACGACAGAGGAGACUGAGGACAAUCUGGAUAUGCUGGUGCCUCAUGAAGUGCCAACCGGAGUUCUGACUGUACAUAUAAAGGAUUGCAAAGUGUUUCCAAACAUCUGUAUCCUUUCCAGCAUCUCAUAAUAACAUUUUUAAAAAGUUUGCGGUUUAAAUAAUUUUAGCACUGAACUUUUUUUGUCGUCGUUUUUCCUUGAUCACUAAUCCAUUCUACACAAAAGACUUUCAGUUUUUUCUCAGGAUAUCUGUUGGUGGAAAGGAAAAGUGCACCAAGCUUCAAAGCAACAAAGAUGCCAGAGGAGGCAAAGCAGAUUUCUCACUUUGCUUUGAUGAGUGGAAAUACUUCUCCAUCCAGAUACCUGAGCAGAAUUCCAGAGCUGUGAAUCCCAAUCAAAUCAUGGUGGAGCUUCUUUUCUUUGAGCCAGCAGCAAGAGAUCCUAAACCAAUGGGCAGUGCUUUCUUCAAUGUGUUGAAAGUUCUCAAUGAAUCCAUUGUCACUCACCAGUUUAAUGUGAUGCUCAAUAAACAGGUAACCACUAGGUUUACUGUUGUUUGUGUGUUCUUUCUAACUUGCAAUUGCAAGUUCAUAUCCCACAAUUCUGAUGGGGAAAAAAAAGUCUGAAUCGCGAGACAUGAACUGGCAAAAAAAAAGAAAGAAAAAAAAACAGAAUUGUGAGAUUAUUUUCAUCAGUUUUGCUGAAAAUGUAGCCAUUUAUCAACGGCUAUGGCGUUUGUUCUAAUACGGUUUCUGAGGACACCAACUGGGAUAUGUUUUUUUUUUU